rnacentral:misc_RNA from 1 species
GAGAAAGUGCCUAAGAAGAAAGUGAAUGGUGAAAAUAAUGGAGAAGAAGAGGAGGAGGAGGAGGAGUGGUCUGCCAAAAGCUAUGGAAAUUAUGGCAGUAGAAUAGCAUUGCCUGAGAACAUCGCGUUUGAGAAGAUCAAAGCUGAGGUUAAAGAUGGGGUCUUGUAUAUAACCAUCCCUAAAGCCAGUACCACUGGCAAAAUUCUUGAUAUUGAUGUUAAGUGAUCACUUCUGUAUCUACAUGCAAAUAGCUUUUAGGUUAUA